rnacentral:rRNA from 1 species
UACGUAGGGGGCAAGCGUUAUCCGGAAUUACUGGGCGUAAAGCGCACGCAGGCGGUUCGCCAAGUUUGGAGUGACAGUUGUCGGCUCAACCGACAAAGGACUUCAAAAACUGGUGAACUUGAGGACGAGAGAGGAACAUGGAACUCCAGGUGUAGUAGUGAAAUGCGUAGAUAUCUGGAAGAACACCAAUGGCGAAGGCAAUGUUCUGGCUCGUUUCUAACGCUCAGGUGCGAAAGCCAGGGGAGCGAACGGG